CAAAUUAGAGCUUGAUAAAGCAUUUUAGUUACAUUAAAAAGAUAGUUGAUUAACAAUUUAAUUUGA
rnacentral:tRNA from 1 species